CUCUCAUUAUAUCAAGACAUGCAUGGCAAACCACACAGAAAAUCAUGACCAUGCAUGAAUGAAGGAGCUUGUACCUUUGAUACAAAAUAGCUUGCUCAUUUACAAAAACUCACAACUCACAAAAUAUUAAACAACAAUAUGGAAUUAACAUCAUAUAAAAACAACAACCCAUUGGCUUCAUAGAUCUGUUUUGAAAUUUCCAUUUAGUUUUUCUUGUUUCGGAAAAUUGCCCUAAAUUUGGGCUAUUAGUAGUUUUUAAUCCGUUUCACUACAAUAUUUUACAUUUCCCCUUUCCUAUCCAAUUCAUGUUUUGUCGACUGGGAAAGCAAUUUGCCUACUACUUGACUGGGGGUCAAAUUUCACUGUCGAAUAGUAAUUAUAUUAUUGGGGAGAAUUGACAGUCAACGCUUGAAUUAGAUGCAAAUUUGCCAGCGACUAUAAUUCGUAUUCUAUGGUUCCAUGGGCUGACAAAUGACUUACAGUCUAUAGGCAUAGCUUCAAUAAAAUCUCAAGCGAUUAUUUCAAGUACCUAGGAAGCAAAACCCAGGAUUUUAUUGUGUCCGUGGCCGAGUCCUCCUUGAUUUUUCUACCAAAACAAAAUGUUGGAGAUCCGGAGAAGAUUCCCUUACUAUAACGUCGUUGGCGAACGAUGUUACCACGUCGAACGACGUCGGUUAGAGGCUGGACUCUGUAGCUCAGUUAGUUAGAGCGCUGCACCGGAAUCGCAGGGUCCCAGGUUCGACUCCUGCCAGAGGGCCUAUUAUAGUUUCAUAAUUUUUCUCAGCUGGUCCUGGUUAAGUCUAAAUAAAUAUAUAAAAUUUACUCUCGAAAUUUCCAGCUACAAAAUCCUUCGACAUUACUUCAGUCGAGUGAGAUGGCCGAAAAUCCUAUUUAAGUGAACACGUAUUGUUAGAUUAGUUAAAUUAGAUUGAAUUUCAUAUUGAUGAUUGUCUAAGAAAACUAGAUAUAUAAAUU